GUUCACUUUGGCAGCACGUAUACUAAAAUUGGAACAACAUGGAGAAGUUUAGCUUGGCCCCUGCACAAGGAUGACACACAAAUUCAUGAAGCAUUCCAUAUUAUG
rfam:Canis lupus familiaris chromosome 5, whole genome shotgun sequence.